GACGAACGCUGGCGGCGUGCUUAACACAUGCAAGUCGAACGGAGAGGCCCUGCUUUUGUGGGGUGCUCGAGUGGCGAACGGGUGAGUAACACGUGAGUAACCUGCCCUUGACUUUGGGAUAACUUCAGGAAACUGGGGCUAAUACCGGAUAGGAGCUCCUGCUGCAUGGUGGGGGUUGGAAAGUUUCGGCGGUUGGGGAUGGACUCGCGGCUUAUCAGCUUGUUGGUGGGGUAGUGGCUUACCAAGGCUUUGACGGGUAGCCGGCCUGAGAGGGUGACCGGCCACAUUGGGACUGAGAUACGGCCCAGACUCCUACGGGAGGCAGCAGUGGGGAAUAUUGCACAAUGGGCGGAAGCCUGAUGCAGCAACGCCGCGUGCGGGAUGACGGCCUUCGGGUGGUAAACCGCUUUCGCCUGUGACGAAGCGUGAGUGACGGUAAUGGGGAAAGAAGCACCGGCUAACUACGU
rnacentral:rRNA from 1 species